GUGCUUUCAGCAGUACAUAUACAAAAAUUAGGACAAUACAGAGAAGUUUAGCAUGGUCCCUGCUCAAGGAUGACACACAAAUUCAUGAAGCGUUCCAUAUUUUU